UACGUAGGGUGCAAGCGUUGUCCGGAAUUAUUGGGCGUAAAGAGCGUGUAGGCGGCCCGACCAGUCCGCUGUGAAAAGUCCAGGGCUCAACCCUGGAAUGCCGGUGGAUACUGUCGGGCUAGAGUCCGGAAUGGGCGAGUGGAAUUCCUGGUGUAGCGGUGAAAUGCGCAGAUAUCAGGAGGAACACCAAUGGCGAAGGCAGCUCGCUGGGACGUGACUGACGCUGAGACGCGAAAGCGUGGGGAGCAAACAGG
rnacentral:rRNA from 1 species